rnacentral:rRNA from 1 species
AGAGUUUGAUCCUGGCUCAGGAUAAACGUUAGCGGUGUGCUUUAUGCAUGCAAGUCGUACGGGACUAUAGUUUUCGGAUUAUAGGCUAGUGGCAAAUGGCGGAGUAAUACAUAAGUAACCUGCCUGCGAGUGGUGGAUAACUUGCCGAAAGGCAAGCUAAUACAGCAUGUGGUAACCAGGGAUCUCCUGGUUAUUAAAGCCGUAGGGCGCUUGCAGUGGGGCUUAUGCCUGAUUAGCUAGUUGGUGAGGUAACGGCCCACCAAGGCGAUGAUCAGUAGCUGGUCUGAGAGGAUGGUCAGCCAGAUGGGGACUGAGAUACGGCCCCAACUCCUACGGGAGGCAGCAGCAAGGAAUAUUGGGCAAUGGGCGAAAGCCUGACCCAGCGACACCGCGUGAGGGAUGAAGGCCUUCGGGUCGUAAACCUCUUUUCUCGAGGAAGAAGCUCUGACGGUACUCGAGGAAUAAGCCUCGGCUAACUACGUGCCAGCAGCCGCGGUAAUACGUAGGAGGCGAACGUUAUCCGGAUUUAUUGGGCGUAAAGGGAGUGUAGGCGGUUUGUUAAGUCAAAUGUUAAAUCUUCUGACUCAAUCAGGAGCUGCGUUCGAUACUGACAGGCUUGAGGGCAGCAGAGGAAAAUGGAAUUCCCAGUGUAGCGGUGAAAUGCGUUGAUAUUGGGAAGAACACCAGUGGCGAAGGCGAUUUUCCAGGCUGUUCCUGACGCUGAGACUCGAAAGCGUGGGGAGCGAAGCGGAUUAGAUACCCGCGUAGUCCACGCCUUAAACGGUGGAUAUUAGGUAUAGGGAGUAUCGACCCUUUCUGUGCCGUAGCUAACGCUUUAAAUAUCCCGCCUGGGGAGUACGGCCGCAAGGCUAAAACUCAAAGGAAUUGACGGGGGUCCGCACAAGCAGCGGAGCGUGUGGUUUAAUUCGAUGAUACACGAAGAACCUUACCAGGGUUUGACAUGUCAGAAGUAGGAAACUGAAAGGUGGACGACCUGUAUCCAGUCAGGAACUGUCACAGGUGCUGCAUGGCUGUCGUCAGCUCGUGCCGUGAGGUGUUGGGUUAAGUCCCGCAACGAGCGCAACCCUUGUCCUAUGUUAAAUUCUCAUAGGAGACUGCCUUGUACAGCAAGGAGGAAGAGAGGAUGACGUCAAGUCAGCAUGGCCUUUAUGCCCUGGGCUACACACACGCUACAAUGGGUAAUACAGAGGGUUGCCAAAGAGUGAUCUGGAGCUAAUCCCUUAAAAUUAUCCUCAGUUCAGAUUGUAGGCUGCAAUCGCCUACAUGAAGGAGGAGUUGCUAGUAAUCGCAGGUCAGCUAUACUGCGGUGAAUACGUUCUCGGACCUUGUACACACCGCCCGUCACAUCGUGGAAGUCGGAAACACCUGAAGCCGAUGCGUUAACUUACUUUUGUGAGAAAUAGUCGUCGAAGGUGGUGCUGAUAACUGUGGUGAAGUCGUAACAAGGCA